ACACACGUGUGUAUCUUCACUGCUGCAGAGGAGAGAGAGAGAGAGCAAUGACUGAACACAAACACUACAACAACAUCUCUACAAACUAAACCAACAAAACAAAGUCACUUACAGGAUCAGUGAAGUGUUGUGGACUGUAAACCUGUUGAACAGAAGCAGAGACGUGUUGACAGACACUGACUGUACUGAUGAGGAUCAUCUGCUGCUGCACAGGCUGUAAAGUAUAACCCCUGCUGGACACGGCUCCGGAAGCUCCAGGGGGAGACCGUACUGGUAUCCCCCCUUCUUCAGGCGCGCCUCACACUCAUUCACCAUUCCCACAUAUCGCAGAGUUCUGGCUGGCAUUGAACCAGCAACCCCUGAAGCCAUGGGGCAGCGCUCUUACCACAGAGCCACAGAUCUCCUGACUGAACACCUGCUGGUACUGGUGUUUGACUGCAGACCUGUGUGUGAGCUGUUUCAAUAAAACAAGAUACAAGUCA